AGUGAACGCUGGCGGUAGGCCUAACACAUGCAAGUCGAACGGCAGCACAGUAAGAGCUUGCUCUUACGGGUGGCGAGUGGCGGACGGGUGAGGAAUACAUCGGAAUCUACUUUUUCGUGGGGGAUAACGUAGGGAAACUUACGCUAAUACCGCAUACGACCUACGGGUGAAAGCAGGGGAUCUUCGGACCUUGCGCGAUUGAAUGAGCCGAUGUCGGAUUAGCUAGUUGGCGGGGUAAAGGCCCACCAAGGCGACGAUCCGUAGCUGGUCUGAGAGGAUGAUCAGACACACUGGAACUGAGACACGGUCCAGACUCCUACGGGAGGCAGCAGUGGGGAAUAUUGGACAAUGGGCGCAAGCCUGAUCCAGCCAUACCGCGUGGGUGAAGAAGGCCUUCGGGUUGUAAAGCCCUUUUGUUGGGAAAGAAAAGCAGCAGGUUAAUACCCCGCUGUUCUGACGGUACCCAAAGAAUAAGCACUGGCUAACUUCGUG
rnacentral:rRNA from 1 species